ensembl:lncRNA
UCGCUCCGCGCCCCGCGUCGGGGACCCAGCGCUGCGGCCCCGCGUAGCCGCCCACGUGCCUCGGCCUGGGGUCCGGCCGCCGCCGGGGCCUGGCUUGCGGGACCGACGCCCGCCGUGCGGCGCUGGAAGCUCCCGGGCCCUGGGCGUCGCACACCGAGGGGCAGAAGACAAUCAACUCUGGACUUGGAGAGGCAGUGUUUGUCUACAGUCAUAGAGUUAGCUGAUUCCAGUUCAGGAUGUUUUCUUCUGCACACAUGGAAAUCCAUGAUUCACAGGC